AGCUGUAGAGCCUAGGAUGGGGAAUAUCUAACUCUCAGCUUUCUUCAGCCCAAGGUGGAAAUGUUCUCCCAUUUCCAAGACCAGCAGAGCACCCUGUAUCCUACAUGAGAGCACCCACCUCUUCUUUUCAAGCCAAGCCAUGAAAACAAAGGAGAACCGAGCAGCAGCCAGGAAUGUGCUAUACAUGGACUCCUAAUGGAAUUAGAGUAUCUGCAUCCUGCCCACAUGGACUAAAGCAUUGGAUCGGGGCCUAUCAUUUACAGUGACGAUGCAGUCCUGUGAGGCAGACCACGUGGGACUCCCUGUUAAGACACAGUCAAGAGAUGACAUCAGUCUUUGUAGGAUCAUAGGAAAUAGCAUCACAGGUGAAGGCACAAAGUACUGAAGUUUCAGAAGAAAAAACAACACAGAAUCUUUGUAUCAAUCCAGUAAAAAAAAGCAACCCAAAAAACAACCUCACCACUUUGGGAAGGAUCUCCUCAAAAGAAAGCUGAUGAGUUGACUGGCAUCAGAGACUGUCCAAACCAAGGAGUCAGAUGGAAAGGACCACGAGGGAAAUUGGGCUGCAUACCCAAGAGAAGGCUUUGAAACAAUGCAAUCCCAUUUUCACAACGUCCAGCAUGGAGAUGUGAUGUCCAAAUCUCCAGUACCACUGUGCUUGCACAGGCAGAGCCUUGCCAGCUUUUCAGUCAGGCUGAGGCUGAAUUUGCCACAAGAGCAAGUCCUAGGAUGUGCAUUCAAGACGAGGAACAGGACCUUGUCCCACAGAGAACUUUUCCACCAAGCAAGCCCAGGGUGUCAGACUAGGAGCCUGUUUCUGUUUUCUGCAUUACAUUCAGCUCAAUCAAUCAUUCAAUGGCUUCCAUCCUUAUUUUUCCUCUGUCCUUUCCAGUCAGACUUUGUUCUCUUCAGACUGGUGGUGGGUUUGUGCCUGGUACAGAGGGUGCUCACCUGAGCCAGGGACAUGAUGGUUGCUGUCAUGCUAAUCAUAAUUUUCCUCAGAAAGGAAAUAGCAAAUGCCUUUGUGUCUUGUUCUCCUGCCCUUGUGCUCCCAGACCCCUGCUCUGAGGACAGGACACUUCCCCUCUGCCUCCUUUUGCUCUGAUUUGCCUUGCCUUCCCCAAGCCCUACUGCUAACUGCACUCUCACUGAUUAUUUUCUUUUCAGAGGCUGUAAACUUCAGUUCCUGCUCAGCUUGCAUUAGUGUCAGAGAAGUAUCUCUUGGCUGUUUACAGAAGAGAAAAUGGAAAGAUGAGCAUUAUUUCAUGUGAAAUAUGGUAGAGAGCCUAUGCUGAGUUUCUCUGUGAGGCCUGAGGCUCCAGCUACCUGAAGAAGCUGGUGAAAGCAUCCGUCAUCUGGUGAUUCAUCUCCCCCUGCCAUGGCUCUGGCCCUGCUCUGCGUGGGUGUCUCACAGCUCUCAUCAACUCUGGUUUUGAUGCAGACCAGGAGCUGCUGGGCUGUUCGCCCAAGUUUAUCUUGUAUGAAAGAGUUUGCUUGCUUUUCAAUUGUCUGGUGUUCUCCUGAAGAUGUAAAUUAAAAAAAAUAAAAAAAAAAAUAAAAAAAACAGGUUUUCUUGUAGAUUGCUUUUCAGCUGUUUCUACUAGGAGUGAGAAAAUGGGGAUUGGUGCUCAAGGGAUGUCUCUGGUGCGAGGUCAUACCAGUCCAAUCCCUUCUUGGAAAGAG
ensembl:lncRNA